CUACGGGAUGCAGCAGUGAGGAAUAUUGCACAAUGGGGGGAACCCUGAUGCAGCAACGCCGCGUGGAGGAUGACGCAUUUCGGUGUGUAAACUCCUUUUAUAUGUCAAGAAAAUGACGGUAGCAUAUGAAUAAGCACCGGCUAACUCCGUGCCAGCAGGCCGCGGUAAUACGGAGGGUGCAAGCGUUACUCGGAAUCACUGGGCGUAAAGGACGCGUAGGCGGGUUGGAAAGUCAGGUGUGAAAUCCUACAGCCUAACUGUAGAACUGCACUUGAAACUUCUAAUCUAGAGUAUGGGAGGGGGAGAUGGAAUUAGUGGUGUAGGGGUAAAAUCCGUAGAUAUCACUAGGAAUACCUAAAGCGAAGGCGAUCUCCUAGAACAUUACUGACGCUAAGGCGUGAAAGCGUGGGGAGCAAACAGGAUUAGAUACCCCAGUAGUC
rnacentral:rRNA from 1 species